rnacentral:rRNA from 1 species
UACGUAGGGAGCGAGCGUUGUCCGGAUUUAUUGGGCGUAAAGAGCUCGUAGGCGGUUUGGUAAGUCGGGUGUGAAAGCUCCGGGCUCAACUCGGAGAGGUCACUCGAUACUGCCAUGACUGGAGUCCGGUAGGGGGGUGUGGAAUUCCCAGUGUAGCGGUGAAAUGCGCAGAUAUUGGGAGGAACACCCGUGGCGAAGGCGGUUCUCUGGGACGGUACUGACGCUGAGACGCGAAAGCGUGGGGAGCGAACAGG